rnacentral:rRNA from 1 species
CCCUUAGAUGUCCUGGGCCGCACGCGUGCUACACUGACGCCUACAGCGAGUACUUCCCAGCCCCGAGAGGUGGCUGGUAAUCAGCAAUAGGCGUCGUGAUGGGGAUAGAUCUUUGGAAUUAUGGAUCUUGAACGAGGAAUGCCUAGUAAGCGCAGGUCAUUAGCCUGCGCUGAUUAAGUCCCUGCCCUUUGUACACACCGCCCGUCGCUCCUACCGAUUUCGAGUGGUCCGGUGAAUCUUUCGGACUGCGCGCGGCCUCGUGCCGUGUCACGGAAAGUCAGGUAAACCUUAUCACUUAGAGGAAGGAGAAGUCGUAACA